rnacentral:lncRNA from 1 species
UGCAUUCAGAAGGGUUAUGAUGCUAGAUGUCCAGCAGUUUAGAUGUUGCAUGAGAAUAAAUGUAUCGCCAUCCAUGAACCUGUAUAUUAUAAACCACUAAAGAAAGUUCAGGUUUCUACAUGCCUUUGAGGUUUACUCUGGGCAUCGGUGUUGGCAGUUAGCUACUGAAUUCAAAACCAUAUUCAAAGUAGUACCCGUCACAUUGUUAAAAUUUUACUAUUCAGUCUGGCCAGCCUUCCAGAUGGCUGCCGCUCCUUACAUGAAGCAAUAUUUAAAUGUUUACGUUUAUUUGUUGUUCCUUGGUUACAGUACCCCUAUAACCACUCUUGAAUUGAAUGAAAUUGAAUGUAUACUAUGUUGUAAGUUGCCGAACAAUGCCAGGUAACCCAAUACUUGCUACUAUAACUAUCAUACAUUGUUUUGCACUAGUUGAGUCCUAGUUGAUAUUUCUUUAAUUUUGGUCGAAUCCCAUAGUUUAAAGUUCUUGACACCCUCCAAAGGAAUCAGAAUAAUUCAGCGGUUAAUGUUAAGCAAUGCAACUCUUUUGCUCUCUGCGUAAGGUUCCAUAUGUGGAGAUAUCAUGGCAGCAUCUAACCAAGCACUCAGGAAUGCAGAGGGAGGACAGAAGCAUUGUAUUGAUUUAUGAGACGGAGGAAUUUAAAUAUGUUUGUUUAUGCAUGGCAGCACAUGGGACUGGAGCCAUUAUGAAGGAACACAAAAACGGAGAGGCCCCUGUAAGAUAGAAGUGGGAGGAAUGUCUGUUGGUGCCAUGGAUGUGACUUAAGCACUGGUGUGCGGCAACAAGGCGUUGCAUUGGAAUGCAGACUUUCACAUCCUACUCCAACCAUAGUUAUAUUGUUCAGGGAACUGUACUUGUGCGUAGCAUCCUGAUGUCCUUUAUACUGCCCAGUUACAGUACAGUACAGUGGGGUGGGGUUGGGUGGACGGCACUUGUCCUUGGUUUGCUGUCGGAAUACGUUGUCUAACUACAAGAGAGAUAUGCUGCUUCAUUAGAUCACUUCAUCUGUAUGGCUGUCUGCUACAGAAUCCCCUUGUCUGGUGUUUUAAGGACGACACGAUCAAAGCCUGCGAGCUCAGCCUCUUCCAAAGCAAAGGAUGCCUGAUGAAAAAAGGAUUUAAAAAAAAAACGGGCGUUUCUUUUUUUUACUUGUCAUCUAGUAAUUGGAACAGUUCAAGCACAACGGUUUCAUGUGUGAUUGGCUGCCCUCUACUGGUCGAUCUGGCUGCCAAGAUGAUGAAAAGGUGAUGCAGAGAUUUUCAAAGAGGGAAACUGAGAGACCAUUGGCAUCAUAAAUAAACUAAAUAAUCUCACAGAAGUCACACACUUUCUACAAUGUUAAAUAAAAUGCUAUGUUCAAUCAGACGUUGUUCGGCAUUGAUUUAUUCAUGUGUGGUACCUUACAGGGUGGGACAGGGUGUGUCAAUGAUUAGACAUUGUGGUUUCAGCAAAUACCACAUAUUAUUUCUCCCCUGGAAUUUCUUCUUCUUCUUGCCUUUGAGGAAUUUAAAUCGUCUGCAGCCAUUUUAGGAAAAUAGAAAGCACUCCGAUCAGGACCUUUGGGGCCCCUCCGUUUCCAUGCUACUGUUUUUCUAAAAAGCACUUUUCAGAGCUCCUAAUUUGUGUCUCUUCCCCACUUCCACAUAAACUUGCUUGCUCGGCUAAAAGGCUGCCCAGUAGAAGCGGCUGCAGGAACCAUUAGGGAGCCAGACUGGGUUGAUGGUCCAUUCAAACUGGUUUAAAAGCCAUGCUGUGUUACCAGAGGCUGUGAAUAGCAGGGUAUUUAGGGUCUUAGCUCAUGUAAAAUUAUGGAUCCUGAGAAAAAAGAAACUACCGGAAUGAUUUAUUUUCUUUGUAUGGAAUUUAACUCUACUCCCAAUUGUAGCUUGGAAGACUCCUAUGCUCAAUGACAUUCUGAAGUAAACACACUCGCACGGACACACACACACGCACACAAACAGACACACACAGACCGUCCAACGGCAAUUCGCACACCCUCACACACAUACAC